rnacentral:misc_RNA from 1 species
UCUGCUUCAUCAGCGCGAUAGCAGUAGGAAUGUCGUACUCCUUCUUGUUCUCCCUUAACUUCUGGAUUUCUAGAAACCUCUUCGACCGGCUCCGGUCGCGCUUGAGGAGGAGGGCCGCCUUGCCGGUCUUCGGCUUGGAGGUGGGGGAGGCAGGGAUGGAGGCGGGGGAUUCGUCGGUCUCGGUGACUAGAUCGGCUUCGGCGACGGCGCGGAUGAGGGGGAGAGGGUGGAGACGGAGGGAGUGGAGGG